rnacentral:rRNA from 1 species
AAUAUUGGACAAUGGGGGCAACCCUGAUCCAGCCAUGCCGCGUGUGUGAAGAAGGUCUUCGGAUAUUAAAGCACUUUAAGUUGGGAGGAAGGGCUUUAGGGUAAUACCCUGCAGUUUUGACGUUACCAACAGAAUAAGCACCGGCAAACUGUGUGCGAGCAGCCGCGGUAAUACAGAGGGUGGAAGCGUUAAUCGGAAUUACUGGGCGUAAAGCGCGCGUAGGUGGUUCAGUAAGAUGGGUAUGACAUCCCCGGGCUUAACCUGGGAACUGCUUUCAUAACUGCUGAGCUAGAGUACGGUAGAGGGUAGUGGAAUUUCCUGUGUAGCGGUGGAAUGCGUAGAUAUAGGAAGGAACACCAGUGGCGAAGGCGACUACCUGGACUGAUACUGACACUGAGGUGCGAAAGCGUGGGGAGCAAAC